rnacentral:rRNA from 1 species
GACGAACGCUGGCGGCGUGCUUAACACAUGCAAGUCGAACGGAAAGGCCCUGCUUUGGUGGUGUGCUCGAGGGGCGAACGGGUGAGUAACACGUGAGUGACCUGCCCCUGACUUUGGGAUAACCGCAGGAAACUUGGGCUAAUACCGGAUAGGAGCGCCGGCUGCAUGGUGGGGGUGGGAAAGUUUCGGCGGUUGGGGAUGGACUCGCGGCUUAUCAGCGUGUUGGUGGGGUAGUGGCUUACCAAGGCUUUGACGGGUAGCCGGCCUGGGAGGGUGACCGGACACAUUGGGACUGGGAUCCCGCCCCGACUCCUCCGGGAGGCCGCCGUGCAGCAUCUUGUCCCAUGCGCGGAGGCCAGAUCCAGCAACGCCGCGCCGGGGAUGUCGGCCUUCGGGUUGUAAACCACUUUCGCAUGUGCCGCAGCGUGAGUGACGGUCCUGGGUAAAGCAGCCCCGGCUCACUCCGUG